rnacentral:rRNA from 1 species
UACGUAGGGUGCGAGCGUUGUCCGGAAUUACUGGGCGUAAAGAGCUCGUAGGUGGUUUGUCGCGUUGUUCGUGAAAACUCACAGCUCAACUGUGGGCGUGCGGGCGAUACGGGCAGACUGGAGUACUGCAGGGGAGACUGGAAUUCCUGGUGUAGCGGUGGAAUGCGCAGAUAUCAGGAGGAACACCGGUGGCGAAGGCGGGUCUCUGGGCAUUACCUGACGCUGAGGAGCGAAAGUGUGGGGAGCGAACAGG